UGAGUGUGUUGUAUAUUUUGUACAGGAGAAGCAUCUGAUGACAUCAAUAAUCCUGACUUUGUCCCGUCUAUCUUUUCUUAUUCAUCCCGGUCAGACAAGGAAGGCGAUGCCAAAUUGGAGCAAUAUAAGAGAAAAAGAUGAAGAGAUGAAGCCUCCAGAAGAUGUCCACACAAUGAUCAAUCUACACCCAUUUCCCCAGCAAAUGAUAGUGGAAUGGACCCUGAUCAAUCUACGCCCACUCCACCUGUGAAUGACUGUGAAAUGGAGCCAAAUGCUGAUCUUUGUAAUGAAGCUGCAGUCCCAAAGGCCGACCAUGAGGACCUCAAACAGAAAUACCACCAACUGAAUAUCGAGUGUGACAACCUGUGUGCAGAAAACAACCAACUGAGAGCUGAGAAUGAAGAAAUAAAAGCAGUUUAAAUUUUAAAGAACUGUUCAGCAAUAGGGAGGGCUGUGGAAAGGAAUGGAUCAUCUCUGGCAAAACGAGUGAUGAUUAGAUCUUGCUGUGUCCACUUCACAAAGUCGCAGUACUCUACCUCACAUACAAACAUGUCAAGUUGUACUUGAUGGUAGUACUUGUGGUUCUUUUUGAGACAGAAUGAUUGGUCUAAGCAAAAAUCUUUGUCCUCACCGCUUCCUGUCAUGAUAUCUGUAUGGGCACUUGAUCUCUACAGUUCCUCUACCGCAGCAACCACAGUUCACCACUCCAUCUGGUGAUGCUCCAAGAUGUGGAUGGACAACUAGACCACAGAGUUCAACAUUAAAGUUGUGAUGAUGUGCUUUCAUUGCCUCAGCAUAACAUUUUCUUGCAGUGCAUUCAUUGUUUCUUCCCCACUUUAUUGCAUUUACAUGAGAUAAGUCUUUGUUGUCAUAUUGCAUCAUCUGUUUGAGUAAGUUGGUUUUAGCUGUUUCAGUUUGAACAGUACAAACACGAUAUAUGGUGGAGCUAGUAAUUCGUCCUAAUCUGUGUGUUUGCCAAGCCUGUGAUUGGGCUUGUUUUUUAGUAAUUGAUUCAAGGUUUGCACACUUUGCCUGUGUUAUCUCCCUUCUAAGCCUGGAAAAUAUAGCCUCACUUUUUUCUAGUAAUUCAGCUGAGGAGAGGCCUCUCAGAUUUGCAUCAUACAGAGCUGCCAGUGGCUCCAAUGGGUCUUCAUUCUCUUUGUCUGAAUCUGAUGCGGUGUCUGUGUCACUGCAGUCCAGGUCAGUGAGAACAGCUGCCUUGGGUUUCAGAAGUUUCAGCUUCUUCAUGUCUUCAUCUGUC